rnacentral:rRNA from 1 species
UACGAAGGGUGCAAGCGUUACUCGGAAUUACUGGGCGUAAAGCGUGCGUAGGCGGUGAGUUAAGUCUGAUGUGAAAUCCCCGGGCUCAACCUGGGAAUGGCAUUGGAUACUGGCUCGCUGGAGUACGGUAGAGGGUGGUGGAAUUCCCGGUGUAGCAGUGAAAUGCGUAGAGAUCGGGAGGAACAUCUGUGGCGAAGGCGGCCACCUGGACCAGUACUGACGCUGAGGCACGAAAGCGUGGGGAGCAAACAGG